GUUGAAAAGAGCAUGGACCAAAAAUAACAUAACAGGUGUGAUAACAUGCGCCUGGGGGUAUUGGACGGCGUGCUAUGCUGUAGGAGAGAGUGCCUCUUAACAUGAGGAAAGGUCUAUCGUAGUUACCUUAAGUAUGUUGGGUGAUGGGUUGAGAGGAAGACUUAAAGAAAGUGAAAGAUGUAAUAUUACUUUUGUUCUUUUUAUUUAAAAAAAUGAUUACAUCUUUACUUUUAUAAUAUACAUAAAAAACUCACUUGUUUCUCCAUUAAUGAAGAGGAGUCCUACUCAUGGGUUGAAGUAUAAAGUUUAUUCAAUCCUAAACAUUGAUCGGAGUAACUAUUGA